rnacentral:rRNA from 1 species
UACGUAGGGUGCAAGCGUUAUCCGGAAUUAUUGGGCGUAAAGCGCGCGCAGGCGGUCCUUUAAGUCUGAUGUGAAAGCCCACGGCUCAACCGUGGAGGGUCAUUGGAAACUGGGGGACUUGAGUGCAGAAGAGGAGAGCGGAAUUCCACGUGUAGCGGUGAAAUGCGUAGAGAUGUGGAGGAACACCAGUGGCGAAGGCGGCUCUCUGGUCUGUAACUGACGCUGAGGCGCGAAAGCGUGGGGAGCGAACAGG